rnacentral:rRNA from 1 species
AGUUUGAUUAUGGCUCAGAUUGAACGCUGGCGGGAUGCUUUACAUGCAAGUCGAACGGCAGCACGGACUUCGGUCUGGUGGCGAGUGGCGAACGGGUGAGUAAUGUAUCGGAACGUGCCCUAGUAGCGGGGGAUAACUACGCGAAAGCGUAGCUAAUACCACAUACGCCCUUCGAAGCGGGGGGACCUUCGGGCCUCGCACUAUUAGAGCGGCCGAUAUCGGAUUAGCUAGUUGGUGGGGUAACGGCUCACCGAAGGCGACGAUCCGUAGCUGGUUUGAGAGGACGACCAGCCACACUGGGACUGAGACACGGCCCAGACUCCUACGGGAGGCAGCAGUGGGGGAAUUUUGGACAAUGGGGAAACCUGAUCCAGCCAUCCCGCGUGUGCGAUGAAGGCCUUCGGGUUGUAAAGCACUUUUGGCAGGAAAACGGCACGGGAUAAUACCCCGUGCAACUGACGACACCUGCAGAAUAAGCACCGGCUAACUACGUGCCAGCAGCCGCGGUAAUACGUAGGGUGCAAAGCGUUAAUCGGAAUUACUGGGCGUAAAGCGUGCGCAGGCGGUUCGGAAGAAGAUGUGAAAUCCCAGAGCUUAACUUUGGAACUGCAUUUUUAACUACGAGCUAGAGUGUGUCAGAGGAGGUGGGAAUUCCGCGUGUAGCAGUGAAAUGCGUAGAUAUGCGGAGGAACACCGAUAGCGAAACAGCCUCUGGGAUAACACUGACGCUCAUGCACGCGAGAAGCGUGGGGAGCAAACGGGAUUAGAUACUGGUAGUCCACGCCUAAACGAUGUCAACUAGCUGUUGGGGCCUUCGGGCCUUGGUAAGCGCUAACACUUGAUUGACCGCCUGGGAGAGUACAGUCGCAAGAUUAAAAACUCAAAGGAAAUUGACGGGGACCCGCACAAGCGGUGGAUGAUGUGGAUUAAUUCGAUGCAGCGGCCUUUUGCAAAGCCCUUGACAUGUCUGGAAUCCCGAAGAGAUUUGAGUGCUCGCAAGAGAACCGGAACACAGGUGCUGCAUGGCUGUCGUCAGCUCGUGUCGUGAGAUGUUGGGUUAAGUCCCUGGCAGAGGCACCAACCCUUGUCAUUAGUUGCUACGAGGGCACUCUGUGAACUGCCGGUGACAAACCGGAGGAAGGUGGGGAUGACGUCAAGUCCUCAUAGCGCUAUGGGUAGGGCUUCACACGUCAUACAAUGGUCAGGACAGAGGGUCGCCAACCCGCGAGGAGCCAAUCCGAAACCCGAUCGUAGUCCGGAUCGCAGUCCGCAGCUCGACGUGAAGUCGGAAUCGCUAUUCGCAGGAUCAGCAUGUCGCGGUGAAUACGUUCCCGGGUCUUGUACACCGCCCGUCACACCAUGGGAGUGGGUUUUACCAGAAGUAGUUAGCCUAACCGUAAGGAGGGCGAUUACCACGGUAAGUUCAUGACUGGGGUGGAAGUCGUAACAAGGUAA